rnacentral:rRNA from 1 species
AAUCCUGGGCCUUGUACACACAUGAAAAGUCUGACGGAGCAACGCCGCGUGAGUGAUGAAGGUUUUCGGAUCGUAAAGCUCUGUUGUUAGGGAAGAACAAGUGCGAGAGUAACUGCUCGCACCUUGACGGUACCUAACCAGAAAGCCACGGCUAACUACGUGCCAGCAGCCGCGGUAAUACGUAGGUGGCAAGCGUUGUCCGGAAUUAUUGGGCGUAAAGGGCUCGCAGGCGGUUUCUUAAGUCUGAUGUGAAAGCCCCCGGCUCAACCGGGGAGGGUCAUUGGAAACUGGGAAACUUGAGUGCAGAAGAGGAGAGUGGAAUUCCACGUGUAGCGGUGAAAUGCGUAGAGAUGUGGAGGAACACCAGUGGCGAAGGCGACUCUCUGGUCUGUAACUGACGCUGAGGAGCGAAAGCGUGGGGAGCGAACAGGAUUAGAUACCCUGGUAGUCCACGCCGUAAACGAUGAGUGCUAAGUGUUAGGGGGUUUCCGCCCCUUAGUGCUGGCGCCUAAACGCAUUAUGCACUCGCCCUUGGGGGAGUCAGUCCCAAGAACCCAACUCCAAGGAAUUACCGGGGGCCCCCCCCAGCGGUGGAACCAUGGUGGGUUUAAUUUCUAAACCACCUCCAAUAAACCAUACCAGGGAUUUGACAUCCCUCUUGUACAACCCUUAAAAGUAGAGGUUUUUCCCCUUUCCGGGCCAUAAAUUGACGGGGGGGAGCCAGGGGUAUGAUGUCACGCUCACUGUCACGGGACAUUGUUGGGGGGUUAGAUUCCAGAAAACAGAGGCACACCACUAGAAAGUUUGAUGGGUCCAAGCAUUUUUUAUUUU